rnacentral:tRNA from 1 species
AAAGGGAGACCUAAUUCAGGUAGGAGACGAAAAAAAAGUAGUCCCUACCAAGAAUCAAUCCCAAAAGGUCGGAGCGAGGCAAAAUUGGCUUUCAAACUAGGUUCUGGGUUCACACAAGACCUGAAUCAGGAACAAGGGCUAUUAGCUCAGGUGGUUAGAGCGCACCCCUGAUAAGGGUGAGGUCCCUGGUUCGAGUCCAGGAUGGCCCACCUGUACAGGUGGCAAAAAGAAAGAAAAGAAGCGAGGAAUCAGCACCUUAUCUUACUUAUAUAGUAAGAGAGAAUGCUGGCUCUGAGUAAAGAGUCCAGAGGAACCUUGAAAACUGCAUAGAGCUAGGUGAAAAAGCCAAAAAAGAAGACCGCAAG